UACGUAGGGUGCGAGCGUUAAUCGGAAUUACUGGGCGUAAAGCGUGCGCAGGCGGCUUUGCAAGACAGAUGUGAAAUCCCAGGGCUUAACCUUGGAACUGCAUUUGUGACUGCAUAGCUAGAGUACGGUAGAGGGGGAUGGAAUUCCGCGUGUAGCAGUGAAAUGCGUAGAUAUGCGGAGGAACACCGAUGGCGAAGGCAAUCCCCUGGACCUGUACUGACGCUCAUGCACGAAAGCGUGGGGAGCAAAUAGG
rnacentral:rRNA from 1 species